rnacentral:rRNA from 1 species
UGCGCAGGCGGUUAUAUAAGACAGAUGUGAAAUCCCCGAGCUUAACUUGGGAACUGCAUUUGUGACUGUAUAGCUAGAGUACGGCAGAGGGGGAUGGAAUUCCGCGUGUAGCAGUGAAAUGCGUAGAUAUGCGGAGGAACACCGAUGGCGAAGGCAAUCCCCUGGGCCUGUACUGACGCUCAUGCACGAAGCGUGGGGAGCAAACA